UACGGAGGGUGCAAGCGUUGUCCGGAAUCACUGGGCGUAAAGGGUGCGCAGGCGGGGCAGCAAGUCGGAGGUGAAAGCCCAUGGCUCAACCAUGGAAGUGCCUUCGAAACUGUUGCUCUUGAGUCCCGGAGAGGCUGCCGGAAUUCGUGGUGUAGCGGUGAAAUGCGUAGAGAUCACGAGGAACACCAGAGGCGAAAGCGGGCAGCUGGACGGGUACUGACGCUCAGGCACGAAAGCGUGGGGAGCAAACAGG
rnacentral:rRNA from 1 species